UCAGCAGAGUCUGAAUAUGACAAGAAUUUAAUCAAUAAACGCUUUGCUUCAGUGCCUCUGUUCCACCAGGAAAGAGAAGUGGGAGCAGGUCCCUCAGGCGAGCAGUGUCAGGAAGAAAGGAUGCUCGUGUCAGCUGUUUACCCGGCAGAAGAGUUCCAGGAAUGUCCUGCAACCAGCAGAUGGUGCAACUUGGUGAUGAACAAGCUGGUGACCCAGCCCUCAGGCCACCUUGAGCUGUUUGAGAACUCAGGACCUUGGUCUCUGAGGGAUUAGACUCUGCUUUUGAGACAUGUGAAAGACCACAGCAAGGAUAAGGGAGCAAGAAAAUAACAUGAUUAAACAAACUGAAACUACAAGGUGUGCCCUUUACAAGACGGAAGGAAACAAUAAAUUCAUCAGAAGGCAUGUGUUGAUUUCCUACAAUGAAACUUCAUGCAACAACAUUCAGUGGAACUGAAUAUAUACAGGUGCCAGAGGCUGGCCAGGAAGGCCUCCAGCAUUGUCUUCUGGAAGAAUGCUAAGACCUAAAUGUCAUGGGGCCAUCGUGAGGCCUGCAUCUAGCAGCAGGAUGCUUUUGUUGUUUAUUUCUUGUUGUAGAAAAAAAAGUUACGGUUUUGAAACAUUUAGACCAAAAAACGAGAUUAAGAAUUUUUUUCUAUGUCCCCAAACUGCACUUACUGCAAAGCCAAUAGUUUAAAAUGGAUCAUUAUCUGUAUAAAUGUAAGAAUUUUGAAACGUUGCUUUUGUCGAGUUUUUAUAGGACGGCCUGUCUUCCAGUUCUGCAACUAAACCUAUUAAGAUGAUUCAUGGAGCAAGAAAAUACAGCCAGGGUCAUAGCCAGACUCACUCUGAUUUUUGAGGAAUGAACUGAAAGGUAACGUGCACAGCUUACAUCUUAAAGCAAUCAGCAUAAAUGCAAGGGAUACCCGUUCAAGCAGACUUUCAAAGACAGCACACACUAUCAACACAGAGCUUGUCCACACUUGAGGAAUACAGUGACGGGACUGUUACACA